UUGGUGGUGAUGAGACUGGCGUGAUAUUUGGAGUAGUCGUACCAGAACUGCUGGUUGUUUGCUGUUGGUGCAUGCAUCUGAGAGUUUCAUUCAGCAUCUUAUACCCAAUGUCAUACUGUAUGACUCAAGUGGACAUACAUAUCUUUACUGGAUGUGGACAAGGACAUUUAGUUUGGAUUCCAUUUCAGCUUUUACUUACUGCGUUUGAUACUCACAAUCAAGAUGAGGGGAGUGUGGAUGACGUCUUGGAGGUGUGUCCAUAAUUUGGAGUGGGGGCACCGAACAUGCGGACGAUAAUCUUCG